rnacentral:rRNA from 1 species
CAGCAGCCGCGGGAAAACGGAGGGUGCAAGCGUUAAUCGGAAUUACUGGGCGUAAAGCGCACGCAGGCGGUCUGACAAGUCAGAUGUGAAAUCCCCGGGCUUAACCUGGGAACUGCAUUUGAAACUGUCAGGCUGGAGUCUUGUAGAGGGGGGUGGAAUUCCAGGUGUAGCGGUGAAAUGCGUAGAGAUCUGGAGGAAUACCGGUGGCGAAGGCGGCCCCCUGGACAAAGACUGACGCUCAGGUGCGAAAGCGUGGGGAGCAAACAGGAUUAGAUACCCGUGUAGUCCCUGUCUCUUAUAA